rnacentral:rRNA from 1 species
CUCAGAUUGAACGCUGGCGGCAUGCCUUACACAUGCAAGUCGAACGGCAGCACGGGCUUCGGCCUGGUGGCGAGUGGCGAACGGGUGAGUAAUACAUCGGAACGUGCCCUGUUGUGGGGGAUAACCAGUCGAAAGAUUGGCUAAUACCGCAUACGACCUGAGGGUGAAAGCGGGGGACCGCAAGGCCUCGCGCAGCAGGAGCGGCCGAUGUCUGAUUAGCUAGUUGGUGGGGUAAAGGCCCACCAAGGCGACGAUCAGUAGCUGGUCUGAGAGGACGAUCAGCCACACUGGGACUGAGACACGGCCCAGACUCCUACGGGAGGCAGCAGUGGGGAAUUUUGGACAAUGGGGGCAACCCUGAUCCAGCAAUGCCGCGUGUGUGAAGAAGGCCUUCGGGUUGUAAAGCACUUUUGUCCGGAAAGAAAACCUCUGCCCUAAUACGGCGGGGGGAUGACGGUACCGAA